ensembl:lncRNA
CUUCACUUUCGCUUGCUGCCGGGAGAGGAGUGGGUGUGCUUUCCAAGCCGGGCGCCUUCAUCAACUGGGAAAUCUGAUACUGAUUUUGAAGUGGGAAGGAAGACCCUGUGCAAAGUGCUUUCGCUUGUUUUCAUAGAAAGCUUGGAUCAUCUGAAGCCUUUUGUGGAGCGUGAUACACCCAUUCACUGCUAUGCACAGAGUGCAGCAUGAAGACAGUAGGAGUGCAGUAGGCAUAGACGUCUACGGAAGAUGGAGAGGGCCCAUCCUGGAGCUAUUUCACCACACUGCUAUGGACAAGGCCAGAUCUCACCCCAGGCACAGUGAGCAUGACCCCCAGGAGGCCAAACAGGAUCCCUGCUCAGCCAUCCAGAGACAUGCUGCCUCUCAUGCCAUUUUGUUCAGCAGCAUAAGGCACCAUCUAAGGGUACCUUUCUCAAGUUUAAUUUUAUAAAGUACUUUCUUCCUUGCGUAUGCUCACCUGACAAUUUCCUGUGCUAAAAUACAAAUGAAACCAUCUUCUAAAUUUUUUUUUCAGACAAAAUCAGUCAGAUCUGUUUCUCCGAUGAUGCCAUGGAUUUUCAAAAGACUCUGUUGAAGUAUUUUUGAGACACUGUGCAUUUAUCUGUGCAGAGAAGAAUUACAAUGUCUGUGAACUGCUUUUUGUCAUUCUCACAUUUAGAUUUUCAGAGAAGUUCAGCAUUCAGUGAAUAAACUUUAUGGUCUUCAGGGUUAUGUAUGGUCUAGCAGUGUAGCUAAGCAGUAGAUUUGCAAAACAAAACAAAUAAUGUUUAAGAUCCAGUGUCCCCGAUGUACACAUUUCAAGGGGAGUUUAAUUUAGAUUGGUCCUUGUGUUGCCCAUGAGCUUUGUCCCUUUUUGCAGUUGGUGUAUUUUCACAAUGCUUCCAGGGAAUAUAUCCCAGUUUAGUUCCAUCAUAAAGGAAUCUGGUUGGCAUUUUCCAAGGUGACUGCAUGAGCUGAACAAUCCUCUUUUAAAUGUGUAAACAGUUAUACUCCAGGCUACAGAAGAAACAGCAGUACCCAGAAUGAUUCAUUUUGCAGGAAAGUAAAACUAGCAGAAGUGUCAAUGAUCUUUCUUGUUGAUGUUUUCAAUUAAUUUAUUUGGAACCACUUGUCAGGAACUGUAUUUUUAGCUAGGUCUUCAUGAUAAAUUAAGAUGGAAAGGUCUGUAGGUCCUAGUACUGACAGGUAAAAGAGAUGGUGCUUUUUCCUUCUUGACAUUCUAGUUUUCCUCUUCUCUAUGUGCAACUGGUGUGCAGUGAAAGGAUGUUACUCAUGUUGUUAGAGGCCAUAUUUUCCCAUCCAACAUAAGAGUAUAUACUUCAGAGAAGCAGGAGUAACAGCAGGCUGUGAAGGAACCCAGUGGUGAUCAGGAGAAGUAACUGUGUCUCCAAAGGUCCAGUACCUUCCAGAUAACAUAACAAAACAUAACAACAACAAAUAUAUAUGUACAUAUAUAAAUAAUAAAAAAUAUCCCUGGAAAGUAUACUCUCGCCUGUCACACUCUAGUACAGCACCCUGUGCUGUCAAGUAAAUGUUUUUGCAAAUGUUACGUUUUCCUCAUCUCUUCAAUUGUUUUUUUCUUUCAGCUAUAUACUGUUAUCACAGAUGAUCUGAUUUCAAGGAACAAAAAAAUGUCUCUUUUUGUAAUAAAGCAG